AAAGUAAAAACAAACCACCCACACCACAUAACACAACCUCACCAAAUGGCCACCGCCUGCUCCGGCGGCCUGCUUUUAUUCUCUUAUCUGGCCCCACCCACAUCCUACUGAUUGGUCCAUUUUACAGAGAGCCAAUUGGUCUGUUUUACAGACAACUGAUUGGUCCGUUUUGACAGGGUGCUGAUUGGUGCGUUUACAAACCUUGAGCUAGACACAAAAGUUCUCUAAGUCCCCACUAGAUUAGCUAGACACAGAGCACUGACUGGUGCAUUUACAAACCUUGAGCUAGACACAGGGUGCUGAGUGGUGCAUUUACAAACCCCGAGCUAGACACAGAGUGCUGAUUGGUGCAUUCACAAUCCCUUAGCUAGGCAUAAAGGUUCUCCAAGUCCCCACCAGAUCAGCUAGACACAGAGUGCAGAUUGGUGCAUUUACAAACCUUGAAAUAGACACAGGGUGCUGAUUGGUGCAUUUACAAACCUUGAGCUAGAUACAGAGUGCCAAUUGCUGUAUUCACAAUCCCUUAGCUAGACAUAAAGAUUCUCCAAGUCCCCACCAGAUUAGCUAAAUACAGAGUGCCCACUGGUGCAUCCACAAACCCCGAGCUAGACACAGAGUGCUGAUUGGUGUGUUUACCCUCCCUUGACUAGACAUAGAGGUUCUCCAAGUCCCCACUAGACUGGGUAGCCCAGCUAGCUUCACCCAGUGGAUCCCGCACUGGGGCCGCAGGUGGAGCUGCCUGCCAGUCUCGCUCCCUGCGCCCGCACUCCUCUGCUCUUGGGUCCUCAAUGGGACUGGGCGCCUCGGAGCAGAGAGCCACGCUCGUCGGGGAGGCUCGGGCCUUGCAGGAGCCGACAGCGUGGGGCAGGGGAGGCUCACGCAUGGCGGGCUGCAGGUCCUGAGCCCUGCCCCGCGGGGAGGCAGCUAAGGCCUGGCGAGAAAUCGAGCGCAGCCUCGGUGGGCCGGCACUGCUGGGGGACCCCGUGCACCCUCCACAUCUACUGGCCUGGGGGCUAAGCCCCUCACUGCCCAAGGCCGGCGGGGUCGCCCGGCCGCUCCGAGUGCGGGGCCAGCCAAGCCCACGCCCACCCGGAACUCUAGCUGGCCGGCAAGCGCCGCGCGCAGCUCCAGUUCCUUUCCGUGCCUCUCCCUCCACACCUCCCAGCAGGCUGAGGGAGCCGGCUCCGGCCUCAACCAGCCCAGAGAGGGGCCCCGACAGCGCAGAGGCGGGCUGAAGGGCUCCCUGAGCAUGGCCAGAGCGGACGCCGAGGCCGAGGAGGCACCAAGAGCAAGCGAGGGCUGCCAGCAGCUGUCACCUCUCUCUGGGAUUACAGGAAGUCACAGAAGGAUGGGAAGAAAUAAGAAGUCACUGGGGUCCCAGGUGACUCAGAGAUUGCCCAGACCUCUGACCAGCUCUCAGACAACACUUUGGUCAGUCUCGGACUCUGCUAAAAAUCCUAUAUGAGUGGUAACACUCACCACGAAGGUCUGCAACUUUACUCCUGAAGCCAGCAAAACCACGAACCCACUGGUAGGAACAAACAAUUCCAAACGCACCGCCUUGAAAGAUAUAACGCUCACUGCAAAGGUCUACAGCUUCACUCCUGAGCUAGCGAGACCACGAACCCACCAGAAGGAAAAAACUCUGAACACAUCCAAACAUUAGAGGGAACAAACUCCAGACCCGCUGCUUUUAAGAACUGUAACACUCACUGCGAGAGUCCGCAGCUUCAUUCUUGAAGUCAGUGAGACCAAGAACCCACCAAUUCCAGACAUAGCAGGAUGAGACAGGAGUCAGCACAAAAUACAGGUCAUAAAGACCUUGCUGAUAUAAACAGUUUGCAGUAAAGGAGCCGCCCAAAACCCACCAAAACCAAAGUGGCGAUGAGAGCAAUCUCUGGUCGUCCUGCUACACUCCCACCACUGCCAUAGCAAUGUCAGGAAGUUGCCCUCUAUGGUCUAAACGGGGGUAAUAAUCCACUCCUUGUUUAGUGUAUCUUCAAGAAAUAACCAUAAAAAUGGGCAACCAGCAGCCCUCGGGGUUGCUCUGUCUAUGGAGUGGCCAUUCUUUUAUUCCUUUACUUUCUUAAUAAACUUGCUUUCAC
rnacentral:lncRNA from 10 species